rnacentral:rRNA from 1 species
UACGUAGGGUGCAAGCGUUAAUCGGAAUUACUGGGCGUAAAGCGUGCGCAGGCGGUUAUGCAAGACAGAUGUGAAAUCCCCGGGCUUAACCUGGGAACCGCAUUUGUGACUGCAUAGCUGGAGUACGGCAGAGGGGGAUGGAAUUCCGCGUGUAGCAGUGAAAUGCGUAGAGAUGUGGAGGAACACCGAUGGCGAAGGCAGCCCCCUGGGCUAGCACUGACGCUCAUGCACAAAAGCGUGGGGAGCAAACAGG